rnacentral:rRNA from 1 species
GCGAAAGCGUGGGGAGCAAACAGGAUUCAGAUACCCUUGGUAGUCCACGCCGUAAACGAUGAAUGCUAAGUGUUAGAGGGUUUUCCGCCCUUUAGUGCUGAAGUUUAACGCAUUAAGCACUUCCGCCUGGGGAGUACGGCCGCAAGGCUGAAACUCAAAGGAAUUUGACGGGGGCCCGCACAAGCGGUGGAGCAUGUGGUUUAAUUUCGAAGCAACGCGAAGAACCUUACCAGGUCUUGACAUUCCUCUGAAAACCCUAGAGAUAGGGCUUCUCCUUCGGGAGCACAGUGACACGUGGUGCAUGGUUGUCGUCAGCUCGUGUCGUGAGAUGUUGUGUUAAGUCCCGCAACGAGCGCAACCCUUGAUCUUAGUUGCCAUCAUUAAGUUGGGCACUCUAAGGUGACUGCCGGUGACAAACCGGAGGAAAGUGGGGAUGACAUCAAAUCAUCAUGCCCCUUAUGACCUGUGCUACACACGUGCUACAAUGGACGGUACAAAGAGCUGCAAGACCGCGAGGUGGAGCUAAUCUCAUAAAACCGUUCUCACUUCUGAUUGUAUGCUGCAACUCUCCUACAU